rnacentral:tRNA from 6 species
GCGAUUGUGGUGGAAUUGGUAGACACGCCAUCUUGAGGGGGUGGUAGCGCAAGCUGUGGGGGUUCAAGUCCCCCCAAUCGCACCA